UAUAUCCGGUAAGCAUAAUAAUAGACUCGGCUUAAAUUCAGCGAUUAGCGAGUAGCAUGCAAAGCUCUCGUUCCUGCGCCGAUAUAUAUAUUUUUCUAGUCUUGUCUUCAUAAAUUGAGAGUGUCGAUCGGCGGAAAAGACAUCAGGAAGUAGGAGCGCAGGUUCGAAGCAGGGUAGUGUGUAUAGCUAGUUCUUGGAGGAGCUGAGUAGAAAAGAGAGAAGAAAGAACCGGUAGCCGAGCGUGAACGCGCAGUUAUAUACAUGAAUUUAUGUAUAUAUAGAUAGUCACAUAUAUAUUUAUAUAAAUAUACGGAUCGCGUAGUUGGAGAUCGAGCCGAGCAGCAGACACGCAGCACAGCAAAAGUACAUAUGGAAUAUAUAAAUAUAUAUAAAUACAUAAACACGCGGUACAGUCUUUCUUGUGUCCUUUUUUCCUUGCUGGGGCGAUACGCUAAUAAUAGGGGAGAAGAUGCUUCGCGCGGGUGAUUAUUCGUUCCCGGAUUAAAUCCGAUCUUAUAAACUCGCGCGCGGGACUCGGGGCGAGUGACCAAGGUUGAGACGUUCCUGCCUUAUCAUUGCACAUACACCAUCCAGCUUCUCUCGAAUACUAAUUCACGAGAAAAAUGGGAUUAAUGAAUUUCGACCAUUUCGAUCGGUUAUGCUGACGGCGGUUGUCACGCAUCGCUCAUCCGUUUAAAAACUGUCGGAGUGACGAAAUUUCCGUCCAUUGGAGGAAAAAAUUGACAAUAUCUUGCAAUUCUGAAAUACUCGGCUGUCAAAAAAUAUUCCAAUCGGUUAUUUAUUGGACUGCUAUAUUACGGAAUAAGGUAGCAUCUUUACUACUACGUCACUGCAGGUUAUGUUUUUCGACGAAAAUGUUUGUACAGAGUGCACAAAAUUAUGAACCUCCUGAUGACACGAGACGAGCUUGAAUAAUGUUUUUGAUUUAAUUCAUGGAAUUAUGUAACAUAAUAAAACACUUUUUGCAAGAAUAA